AUGACGAUAUUAAUGCUCUUUUCGAAAAAACGGGGUAGGAGAUGCUACACUCAUCGCGGUUAGAAGAUUUCCGCUCCAACAGUUUUUCAUAAACUAACUUCUUUUUUCCCGCCUACGGUUUGACAUUAGAGAUUUGAAUCCGCAACCAAUUUUCUUGCCCUUUCCCCCUUUUCUACACUACACUUGGAUUGAAGAAGAAAACCCCUUAUUGGAUCGACGAAGAAACCCUUAACAUUCUUAACAAUGAAGAGGCUACGGUGGCAAGAAUGGGAAUCUGAUAUAAAGAAGUGGAUAGCAGAACAUUCGGAAAAUGAUAUUGAUUUGAAUAAUCAUAAUGACAGCAUUAGUGAAACUAUAGAGCCUUCAUCAGAUUUGAUAGUUCCCCUGCUGAGGUUCCAGAAAGAGUGGUUAGCCUGGUCUCUAAGGCAAGAAGAAAGUGUUCAUCGAGGGGGCAUUCUUGCAGAUGAAAUGGGGAUGGGCAAAACUGUCCAGGCAAUAUCCCUUGUUCUUAAGAAACGAGCGAUUCGUCGGCAUGAAUUACAGACAUCUUCGACCACAUUACCCUCAUCUUCAACCACAUUGCCCAAGGUUUGUCCAAUGAUUAGCACCACUCUUGUUAUAUGUCCCUUGGCGGUUUGUAAACAGUGGGUAAGUGAGAUUGACAGUUGCACUUCGGAAGGAAGCACGAGGGCGCUUCUUUAUGAGGGAACCGACAGAAAAAAGAAAGUUUAUCAAUUUUCCGACUAUGAUUUUGUUAUUACCGCAUAUACGACUCUUGAGGUUGAUUACAGGUAUUUGAUCCUACCGAAAACAUCUGGCGAGAAUGAAAAGGGACAUGAUUGUUCUAUAUUGCAUUCUGUACAAUGGGAUCGUAUCAUUUUAGAUGAGGCUCAUUAUAUAAAGAAUGAUCGUAGUAACACGGCCAGAGCUGUUUUUGAUUUACAAUCUUCAUAUAAAUGGGCUUUGAGUGGCACACCCUUCCAGAAUUCUGUUAAAGAUCUUCACUCACUUGUCCGCUUUCUGCAGAUGCAUCCUUACUGUUAUUACUUAUGCAGGAGUUGUGAUUGCAGUUCACUAGAUUAUAGUGCUCCAACAAAAUGUCCACACUGCCCUCAUGUAUUUCGGCACUUUAGCUGGUGGAACAAAUAUAUUUCUACACCAGUAGAAAAACAUGGAAAUACUGGGACUGGUAGGGAUUCUAUGAUUCUGUUGAAACACAGAAUUUUGAAACGCAUAAUGUUGAGACGUACCAAAGAAGGGAGGUCAGCUGAAUUGCGAAUUCAUCCUAAAACUGUUAUUGAAAGAUGGCUAAUAUUGGAUGAAACUGAAGAACUUUAUUAUAAAAUGGCAUACAAGGAGUGCCUAACACUAUUAAAUAGAGAUGUUGAGGCUGGAACACCGAUGAAUGAUAUCCUAUUCAAUUACGUAUUUGAUCUUGUAUUGCACCUACGGAAGGUAGCCGACCACCCUUACUUUCAGAUUUUUGCAACUGAAGAAAAGGGUACUGAACAAUGUGGCUUGUGUGACGACCCCGUAGAAGGUCUUCGCGUGAUAUCAUGUGUACACAUCUUCUGCAAAUCUUGUUUGUCUUCACUGCCUUCCAGUUCCUGCCCUUUGUGUUCAAAACCACUUACUGUUGAUUUCACUGGCAAGAAGAAAAGCGAAGCAAAGUCAAGUAUUUUGGAUAGAAUUAAAAUUGAAAAUUUUCAGUCAAGCACCAAAAUAGAAGCUUUGAGGGAGGAAAUCAGUGACAUGUUUGAAAGGGAUGGUUCUGCAAAGGGAAUUGUCUUCAGCGAAUUCUCAUCAUUUUUGGAUCUUAUUCAUUUCGCUCUUAAGAGGUCAGGAGUGCUCUGUGUGCAAGUAGAUGGGUAUACGCCCAAACAUGAGAGACCUGCUGCUAUCAAAAAAUUUAAAGAGGAUCCUUCUUGCAGAAUACUCCUUACGACCUUUAAAGUCGGAGGUGUUGGGCUCAAUGUUACCGUGGCAUCAAAUGUUUUCUUGAUGGAGCCUAGCUGGAAUCCUCUGGUCGAGCAGCAAGCUCAAGAUAGAAUACAUCGAAUAGGACAAUACAAACCAACCAGGAUUGUGAGGUUUCUUUUUAAAGCUACAAUUGAGGAAAGGCUUUUGGAGUUACAAGAGAUGAAAAGAAAACUGUUUGAAGGGACUGUGGGUGACUGUUCAGAGAACCCAAGGAAAUCAAGAGAGUCUGACUUGAGAUUCAUACUUCAAUUAUAACUUGGAAAGGGAGUAUGUUCUUGAAACCUAGCUUAAGGUGAUUUGGAAUACAUAUGGAACACACUACGAUGACAAGUAUUGUCAAGAUCCUCUCUUUGAAUCCAGGCAAAUUUGAAGAACUGAUUGAACUGAUCACACGAACGGCUGACUUUUUCAAAGUAAUCAAAAAGGUGCUUUGGAAUACAUAUGGAACACACUAUGAUGACAAGUAUUUUCAAGAUCAUCUCUUUGAAUCCGCCAAAUUUGAAGAACUGAUUGAUCUGUAUGCUUUUCUACAAUUCGAUGGAGGAAUUGUGUGCAAGAUACCAACUGGUCAAGUUAAAUAUCCUUACAUUCGUACAUUGUGUAAUAACUCGAUACUAUUGAACUUUAGUAUGGAAUGCCCACAAAAAUUUCUUCCAAGUUAACAUGAUGCCGCUAGUUCAUGGGAUUGUGCACUUAUAGUAAUUUCUCGAAUUCAAUUCGUAAUUUCUAUGUAAACGAUUUUUAACUAGAUAAGACAAAAAUUGUUGAAUGUAUUUUCUGCUUAGUUACA